AAAAGCACUGUGUUCGAAGACCUACGCCAACGUACCUGUAUGUUUGACCUUGAGCUUUGUUUAUCAUGAUUGCCAAAGAAACUUUAACAGAGAAUUAAAGCCUUUUGAACGGAAACGGCAAGUCCGACGGAAUCAUGGGAAUUCUUGGAAUAAAUGCAAUUUCUCCUUUUGCCGGCCCCGUAAGAAUGACGGCUCCUAUAACACU